rnacentral:lncRNA from 1 species
AAAGAACUUCCAAUUAAGGAAGAUGUACAGAAUGAUUGUUGGUCACUGAAAUAUUGAUGUGAUUUUUGUAUUGGGGAGAUCUUGUGUGCCAUUACUCUAUUGUUUCUGGAGACCAAUUCUUAAUCAUCUGAUUUUAUUCAAUGUACUAUUUGAAUGAUUGUGGAACACUUACAAACUAACUGAUCUCUAAUUAAGUAACAUCUGUAUAAUACAAACAACAAUCUGACAUACUUUUGGGGGCUAGUUAGAAGGCUCAGUGGUUGAGAGCAUUGACUUUUCUUCCAGAGGUCCUUAGUUCAAUUCCCAGCAAACACAUGGUGACUCAAAACCAUCUGCAAUAGGAUCUAAUGCCCCAUUCUGGUGUAUCUGAAGAUAGCAACAGUGUACUCAUAUAAAUAAAAUAAAUAAAUCUUAGGGGAAAGAAAGAAAGAAAAGAAACAACAAAAUGGUCCCUAAUGUUAACUUGUUAGGGCUUACUCUGGGAUUAAUAUUUUUCUGACCAUUUUGGAGUCUCUGUAGUUGAAUUGGCCAGUCACUUCUGAUCCUACUUUCUAAUGCCUUAGAGUAUCAAGAACUUAGAUUUUAGACACGCAUCAUCACAUCAGUCUAGACCUCAGAUUGUGAAAGUCCACAUCAUCUCCCACUAGAGUGAAUUUAACACCAAUUUUAUAUCCCCUGGACUCUUAUGGGACACCCUAAUUGUACCUGAGGUGAAAGAAAAAUUCUGACUUGAGGUUUUGUUCUCUUUCAUUCCAUAUGCAUGAGACUUAGUAAGCAUUGCUAUUGGCAUAUUAUAUAUUAAGUUAUGCAAGUGCCUCAUAAUUUCAUGAAAACUUUUUGAGAAUGUUGGACAGAUGUGACUCUAUAGUCAUAUUCUAAUGUUGAUUAUUCUUCAUUUUAGGAUAGACACAAAAUAUUUCCCAUAAUGCACUUCAAAUUUACUAUGAAAAUUCAUUUGAACAAGGAGAGCACUUGCUCUUUCACUGUUAAUUAUUCUAAACCCAUACAUAUUGAGGCAAACACAUAUCAAAAUGUUUGAGUGUUGCCUUCUGUUUCAUCACAAUCUACGCACAACUUAACCAUACAUAUUACUUGUAGACAAGGACAGUGUAAAAACAAAAUGGAAAGAGAAAAUUCGUAUUGGUACACAUAAUGACGAUAGAUAGAUAGAUGAUAAAUAGAUACAUAGAUGAUAGAUAGAUGAUAAAACUAUAAAUUAGUUACUCUUUUCAUUGCUAUGAUAAAAUGCUUGACAACACAAGG